ensembl:snoRNA small nucleolar RNA SNORD113/SNORD114 family
UGGAUCGAUGAUGGCCACUGUUGGCAUAUGUUAUGAGUCGUUUGCGAUGAAUACGUAUCUGGAACUCUGACGUCCAA